UCGUAGUCCGGAUUGGAGUCUGCAACUCGACUCCAUGAAGUCGGAAUCGCUAGUAAUCGUGGAUCAGAAUGCCACGGUGAAUACGUUCCCGGGCCUUGUACACACCGCCCGUCACACCAUGGGAGUGAGUUGCAAAAGAAGUAGGUAGCUUAACCUUCGGGAGGGCGCUUACCACUUUGUGAUUCAUGACUGGGGUGAAGUCGUAACAAGGUAACCGUAGGGGAACCUGCGGUUGGAUCACCUCCUUA
rnacentral:rRNA from 1 species